rnacentral:rRNA from 1 species
AUGACAUGCACUAUGAGGAGCACGUCCGGGUUAGUGGUCAAGUAUCACGCGGACUAUCUCAACCAUAGGAUUUACAAACAGGAGGCUCGAGGGACGCAUCUUUCAUGGGACAAUUACUUCAAAGCAAGCUGGGAGAAGAUCGUCGAACGGUGGACAGAUCCAGGGUGGCAGGAUGAACACAAAGUAAUAUCUGAACGGCGUAAGUUGAUGGGGGGUCGAGGACACCGUCAAGGCAACCUCACCAUCCCAGAAAGAAGACACUGGCAAGGAUAUCACUUACUUUGA